AAAGGGAGGUAAAUUUUUUUUUAAAGGAAAUACCUGCCAGAGGACGAUAGCGCACAAGUAGAGUGAUUGAAAGAUGAAAAGUACUUUGGAAAGAGAGUCAAAUAGCACGGAAAUUGUUGAAAGGGAAGCGCUUGCAGCCAGACUUGUCUGCAGUUGGUUAAUCAGGCUCUGUCCUGGGGCAAUUUUCGGCGGGCAGGCCAGCAUCAGUUUGGGCUGUUGGAUAAAAGCCUUUGUUCAUAGGAGGCGGGGUUAAGGGUUGUAAUCGGCCGUUCUUGAACCCGGGCCCAGGGAUUGUACCAUUUUGGGGGUGUUUUGGGGUUCAACCCCCGCGGGUAAAUGAAAGUGACGGGGGUGAGAGCCCCUUGGGGUGCAUCAUCGACCGAUCCUGAUGUCUUCGGAUGGAUUUGAGUAAGAGCAUAAAUGUUGGGACCCGAAAGAUGGUGAACUAUGCGUGGAUAGGGUGAAGCCAGAGGAAACUCUGGUGGAGGCUCGCAGCGGUUCUGACGUGCAAAUCGAUCGUCAAAUCCUGCGCAUGGGGCGAAAGACUAAUCGA
rnacentral:rRNA from 1 species